CUUUACCUGCCGAUGAGCAAGGCUAGGUGCGCUCCCCCAGGCCCCCGGAUGAAAUCGCGUUGCACUCUUACCUCGAAUAUCGUAGAGGAAAUCUGCAGCCCCCAGUCCUUGAGUUGUAGGACUCUGGACUGGCUGGCGUUCAGACUCUGGAGUGUCCUCAGUGGGACAGAGAAGGUCUGCGGUGUGCUCCCCAAGACUCGAGGAUACAUGAUUUCUUGAGGCUUUCAGGAAACGAUGAGUCCAGUGGCAGAACGGCCCUCUGCGGUCCCAGGACUGCAAACACCGCUGUCAGCAGCUCUCGAUUCAGAGAGGAAGGUCCAAAAGCAAAUUUGAAAAGAGUUUGGUUAUCAUUUCUGAAGUACAGAAGUAUGUGAGAGACUUUGACACUUAGAAUCAUCCAGAACAAAUACUCUCCAGCUUUAUCCUUUCUGCCCUAUGCCAACAAAUAGUCUAUCCCACCUUCUGGAAGAGUACAGCUUCUGUCUCUUCUACCCAGUUCGGUGUAGGC